UGUUACUUCCUGGUUUUAACCAGGAAGUAAUGUGUUUUUUAACCAUCUGUACAUGCGCAGAGGGUCUGCACACACAUGUGAUGUGCGGGCGGCGUGUGCACUUCUGAACCGGUAAGAAAGAGAAUGCUGAGUAGAAUGACUGGGAGGAUUGGAUUAGGGCUGGGCUGUAGAUUUAUCUAUCAAAAUAAGAACCAAAUGAUGAUUAAUAAGUUCAGCCAGGCCAAAGAAGAUGUGUCACUCAACUACUUGUCCGAAGAAAUAGGACAUAAAAACACAGAGUCAACUUGAACAAGAAGGCAAGCCAAUCGCUAGUCUGCAGUCCUGUACAACGUUUAAAAGAAGAAGAAAUCAACUUAUUUCCACCCUUGGCUCACUCCUAGUUUUUGGAAGAUUUUAUACAAUCAAAAGGAAAAAGAAAUCUGAUCUUUCAAGAAAGAUCUGCUGGGAUCCACUUACCGAAUUCUAGAUUGUCUUCCUUACUUCUGUGGCCUGAGGUACCUUUUACAUACUGUGGUCCAGUCUGCAACUUCUUACUUCUGUUCUCCAAGGUCAUUCCCACAUACCAA